AUUAACUUUUAUUUAAAGUAUUUUAUUUAUUUAUUAUUGAAUAUUAAUAGAAAUAACUUUUUUUUUAGUAUUUUUAAAUGAACAAAUUAAUUUUAUUUAUAGUUUAUUUUACUGUGAAGGCUAAUAAUAAUUAUAUUAAAAGUAGAAUUUUUAUUUGUACCUUUUGUAUCAGGGUUUAUUUAAAAUAUUUUAAUUAUUAAUUAAUUAUCCCGAAUUUAAAAGAGAUAUAAGUAAUUGUUAUUUAAUGUGGAAAAAUUAUUAAUAAAUUAUUUAUAGAUGUUAUAUGCUAUUCAUUUUUAAAUAUCUGGUUUUCUAAUAAUUGAAUUUAAUUCAGGAUUUACUAAAUUUCAACUAAUUAAUUAAUUUCUUGUUGAAUAUAUUAAAUCUAAAAUGGAAGGGGAUAAGCUCUUUUAUUAUUCUAUAAAAACAUUAAAUAUAUAAAUUUUGUAGGAUUAGAAAUUUUCAUCAUAUAUUUUGUUAUAAUUAUAUUUAUUUUUUUAUUUAUUUAAUAUAUUUAUUAGAUUUUUAUUGGAAAUUGUUAAAUAAUUAUCAUUUAAUAGUUAUAAUGAUAGAAUUAGUAAGUUUUAUAAUUAAUAUAUAGUAAUUCGGCAAUUUUAUUCUUCACCUGUUUAACAAAAACAUGUCUUAAUGUUAAAUUAUAUUAAGUUUGGCCUGCUCAAUGAUUUUAUUAUUAAAUAGCCGCAGUAUUUUGACUGUGCGAAGGUAGCAUAAUCAUUUGUCUUUUAAUUGAAGGCUUGUAUGAAUGGUUAGAUGAGGGAAUAACUUUCUUUAUAUUAAAAAUUGAAUUUAAUUUUUUAGUUAAAAAGCUGAGAUUUUUAAAUGGGACGAGAAGACCCUAUAGAAUUUUAUUAAUUAGGUAUUAAAUAAUAAUUUUGGUUUUUAUUUUUUCUAGUAUUUUAUUAAUUUUGUUGGGGUGACUGUGAGAAUUAAUUAACUCUCAUAAUUUAUUAAAUUAUUAAUUAAUAUAUUUAAGAUCCUAUUUUAAGGAUAAUUAGAUUAAAUUACCUUAGGGAUAACAGCGUAAUUUUUUUGGAGAGUUCUUAUCGAUGAAAGAGUUUGCGACCUCGAUGUUGGAUUAAAAUUAGAUUUAAGUGCAGAAGCUUAAUUUCUAGGUCUGUUCGACCUUUAAAAUUUUACAUGAUCUGAGUUCAGACCGGCGUGAGCCAGGUCGGUUUCUAUCUUUUUAUUAAUGAUUACAAAUUAGUACGAAAGGACCAUUUGUGGCAAAUAUUUUGUUAUUAUAUUGAUUAUUAUUAA
rnacentral:rRNA from 1 species